rnacentral:rRNA from 1 species
UUUUAUGAGAGUUUGAUCCUGGCUCAGGACGAACGCUGGCGGCGUGCCUAAUACAUGCAAGUCGAACGCUUCUUUUUCCACCGGAGCUUGCUCCACCGGAAAAAGAGGAGUGGCGAACGGGUGAGUAACACGUGGGUAACCUGCCCAUCAGAAGGGGAUAACACUUGGAAACAGGUGCUAAUACCGUAUAACAAUCGAAACCGCAUGGUUUUGAUUUGAAAGGCGCUUUCGGGUGUCGCUGAUGGAUGGACCCGCGGUGCAUUAGCUAGUUGGUGAGGUAACGGCUCACCAAGGCCACGAUGCAUAGCCGACCUGAGAGGGUGAUCGGCCACAUUGGGACUGAGACACGGCCCAAACUCCUACGGGAGGCAGCAGUAGGGAAUCUUCGGCAAUGGACGAAAGUCUGACCGAGCAACGCCGCGUGAGUGAAGAAGGUUUUCGGAUCGUAAAACUCUGUUGUUAGAGA